AUUGAACGCUGGCGGCAGGCCUAACACAUGCAAGUCGAGCGGAUGAAGGGAGCUUGCUCCUGGAUUCAGCGGCGGACGGGUGAGUAAUGCCUGGGAAUCUGCCCGGUAGUGGGGGAUAACGUCCGGAAACGGGCGCUAAUACCGCAUACGUCCUGAGGGAGAAAGUGGGGGAUCUUCGGACCUCACGCUAUCAGAUGAGCCUAGGUCGGAUUAGCUAGUUGGUGGGGUAAAGGCCUACCAAGGCGACGAUCCGUAACUGGUCUGAGAGGAUGAUCAGUCACACUGGAACUGAGACACGGUCCAGACUCCUACGGGAGGCAGCAGUGGGGAAUAUUGGACAAUGGGUGAAAGCCUGAUCCAGCCAUGCCGCGUGUGUGAAGAAGGUCUUCGGAUUGUAAAGCACUUUAAGUUGGGAGGAAGGGCAGUAAGUUAAUACCUUGCUGUUUUGACGUUACCAACAGAAUAAGCACCGGCUAACUUCGUG
rnacentral:rRNA from 1 species